GCCAACUCCAGCGUAAGCUACUGUGUUCCCUGAGUAUUCUACAGACAGCAGUUAUAUUGUAAUGUCCGUAUCCCUUUAGUGUAAAAUAUAUUGGGGGGUUUGGUUAAUUGCCCCCCCAGUGUGAGCUGCUGUGUUCCCUGAGUAUUCUACAGACAGCAGUUACAUUGUAAUGUCCAUAUCCCUUUAGUGUAAAAUAUAUUGGGGGGGGUUUGGUUAAUUGCCCCCCCACUGUGAGCUGCUGUGUUCCCUGAGUAGUCUACAGACAGCAGUUACAUUGUAAUGUCCGUAUCCCUUUAGUGUAAAAGAUAUUGGGG